GGGUGGGGGGAAUGGAUGAAAAAAGAAGAGUGAUUCUUCAGUGUUCCAGUGUAAUAUACACUGAAGUUCCAUGAGAGCUUGCAUCCUUCUUGGCCGACCUGGGCACUCUUUGGUUUGUCAUGGCUAAAAACUUUCCACAUAUAUAUAUUUUUUGAACUUAAAACCUGAAGUUCCAUCUCUGGCUCCCAAAUGGGGUUCUCUGCUCCCUGCUCCUCCUCUUCCAGAGCAGAUUUAUUGUUGGAUUGAUGAGUACUGAUCAGGAGCCAAAACAGAUGUGUCCCUGGGAAAUACAGUGACUUGAGGUUCCAUCUCACAUUCUUUCCAUUCCAGCUGAGACACACCUCCCAGGCUGCUGGAACCCUUAUCUAACAGGAAACUGGUCACUGACAGUUUUCUGUCCUGUAACUUCACAUGCCAACGUGACUGUCCCGCUGCUCUAAAGUUCUGGAGGAAUUCUUGGUGCAUCUCCUGAACUAAUCUUCCUAUCUGCUGCUCCAGCCUCCUUUGUGCCCGUCUGCCAGUGGCACCUUUUGACCUAAGCUAAGUAUGAAAUAUGGUGCCAGGGGACACCAAAGAACAAAAAAGGGCAUCAGGGAUCCUCGAGUGGCACUGUCAGCCUGGGGUCAUUUCUUCUCCAGUCCCAGACUGUGCUGUGGAUAAGACCAUUUCUAGCAUGUUCCACUGAGGCACCUCCUUCCGUUAUGGCUACCGCAAGGCUCUGAGUCAAACUGGAGGAACGAGGGAAAAUCUGCCAAACUGACAGCUAGGGGUGAAGAGGUGGUAAGGAAAGCGGAACGCUCUGUCACCUGUGGGAGGCCUUGGGGAGAAGCAGAUGAUGGGAGGACGGGUUCUCCCCAAAGCUCUGGAAUCUCACGCACCCAGCGAACGCUGACUGCCCUGUCAUGUGAUGAGAGGGGUUAAGUUGGAGUUCUCCUCAGAGGUUCUCUCUCCAUCUGGUGACCUCUUCCUUUUUCGACCACCUGAAAAACACAGCUUGUAAGGAUCAAUCUUCAAGACUGGGAGGACACUGAUACUCUCUCAGUGGUCUAAGCUUUCUUCAAAAUAGAAGCAGGAAUGGAGACAAAGCCCUUGAUAGUUUGUCAGAAGUAACCUGCAUUGUCUCCUGGUGCUGACAUCAGCAUAUUUACAUCUUGAAGGAUUAGGAUGCACCUUCCACCUGAGAUGACAUCUCCAAAAAGCCGCACACCCAGGCUAGUGCCAAUGGAAUGGAGAUUUCCUGGAGGAGACUGAGCGAAGCCCACAUAAUGCCUCAGGAUCACGCCUCCCCAUCCCCAGCUCAAAUGACUGCCAGACACCCUCUGAGAGAGGACUGGUCUCACAGACUUUGAUGUCCCUGAGCCAGGGGUGGUGGGUGUAGUUGGGAGCAACCCCCCCCGCCCACCCCCCAGGGACCUACAUUCUCUAGAUCAGAGGCAACCUCCCUUCUGCACUGGGGUACGUGGGGGUAAUUAUAUAACUGCCCUCAAGGAUGGAAGGGCACUCUGUUCCCAGCUCCAUUGUUUUUAGGAAGGAGUAUUUUUCACCUUGUUCUCUCUGCCAUGGACUUCCUUCCAUGGAGGAUAUUGCUUUCCUUUUUAUUGAGUGUCCCAAACACCAAUUCUUUCCUUAAAGGACCAGAUUGUAAAUAUUUUAGGUUUUGCAGGCCAUUUGGUCCCUGUUGCAACUACUCAACUCUGCCAUUGUGGCCAUCAAUAACAAGGGGGUUCUAUGAUCCAGUAAGUCUUUAUUUUUUACAGGAAUGGGCAGGGGAGGGAGGUCAGCAUUUGAUCUGUGGCCAUGGUUUGCAGACUCCUGUCCUAGACGACCACCAACUAAGUGGGACAGUUCCCCAAAGUAUCAAAGGUGCAGUACCGCCUGAGCCCUAUUAUGGGUUUCCACAAUUGUACCUCAUUAGGGUUCCCAACAGAAGUCAAUGGUUCCUCCUCCAGGAAUAAGAUCCUAACAUGUUUUUUGUACUAACCAGCUGGUGGGCCGUUUUCAUCUGGGUGAAGAGCUACUCACUCAAGGUUCUCAGCAACUUCUGGCCCAUGGUUUCCUCAAAGCUGCUGCUGCAGCGGCUGGUCUCUGUGUCCAGGUUGAUAUGACAACUUUCACUAUCUGAUGCUGAGAGAAAGGAAAGAAGAAAGAACACAAGCCUUUCUACCUACACACCCAGGGAUCCAGGGCCCAGUUUCCCUCCCUGACCUGCUCUCAUGGGAACAGCUGCAGGAGACAGUGAGAGUUGCUGUGUGCUCUGCUCCUCGAAGUCUGUCAUCUCCUCCUGGGUGAAGGCCAUCUCCUCCAUCCUCAGGUAGAAAAACGGACCAUGUGCUGUGAUGCUCGGCUGCCCUAGUCACAGCAAGGUCCUCUGGCCUGAGAAAAAGGACGACACGUGCA